rnacentral:rRNA from 1 species
GAUGAACGCUGGCGGCGUGCUUAACACAUGCCAGUCGAACGGUGAAGGCGGAGCUUGCUCUGCUGGAUCAGUGGCGAACGGGUGAGUAACACGUGAGCAAUCUGCCCCUGACUCUGGGAUAAGCGCUGGAAACGGCGUCUAAUACUGGAUACGAGCUGCUAAGGCAUCUUCAGCAGCUGGAAAGAACUUCGGUCAGGGAUGAGCUCGCGGCCUAUCAGCUUGUUGGUGAGGUAACGGCUCACCAGGGCGUCGACGGGUAGCCGGCCUGAGAGGGUGACCGGCCACACUGGGACUGAGACACGGCCCAGACUCCUACGGGAGGCAGCAGUGGGGAAUAUUGCACAAUGGGCGAAAGCCUGAUGCAGCAACGCCGCGUGAGGGACGACGGCCUUCGGGUUGUAAACCUCUUUUAGCAGGGAAGAAGCGAAAGUGACGGUACCUGCAGAAAAAGCGCCGGCUAACUACGUG